GCCAGACUCCUACGGGAGGCAGCAGUGGGGAAUAUUGCACAAUGGGGGAAACCCUGAUGCAGCAACGCCGCGUGAGUGAAGAAGUAUUUCGGUAUGUAAAGCUCUAUCAGCAGGGAAGAGAAUGACGGUACCUGACUAAGAAGCCCCGGCUAACUACGUGCCAGCAGCCGCGGUAAUACGUAGGGGGCAAGCGUUAUCCGGAUUUACUGGGUGUAAAGGGAGCGUAGACGGCAGUGCAAGUCUGGAGUGAAAGGCGGGGGCUCAACCCCCGGACUGCUCUGGAAACUGUACGGCUGGAGUGCAGGAGGGGCAGGCGGAAUUCCUGGUGUAGCGGUGAAAUGCGUAGAUAUCAGGAGGAACACCGGUGGCGAAGGCGGCCUGCUGGACUGCAACUGACGUUGAGGCUCGAAAGCGUGGGGAGCAAACAGGAUUAGAUACCCUCGUAC
rnacentral:rRNA from 1 species